rnacentral:rRNA from 1 species
AUACGUAGGGUGCAAGCGUUAAUCGGAAUUACUGGGCGUAAAGCGUGCGCAGGCGGUUUUGUUAGAAAGUAGUGAAAUCACCGGGCUCAACCUGGGGACUGCCAUUGUGACUGCGAGGCGUGAGUGCGGGGGAGGGGGCUGGAAUUCCGUGGGUAGCAGGGAAAUGCGUAGAUAUGCGGAGGAACACCGAUGGCGAAGGCAAUCCCCUGGGCCUGCACUGACGCUCAUGCACGAAAGCGUUGGGAGCAAACAGGAUUAGAUACCCUGGUAGUCCACGCCCUAAACGAUGUCAACUGGUUGUUGGGGAUUUAUUUUCUCAGUAACGAAGCUAACGCGUGAAGUUGACCGCCUGGGGAGUACGGCCGCAAGGUUAAAACUCAAAUGAAUUGACGGGG